rnacentral:siRNA from 1 species
UGCCGUUGUCAAGAAGCUCGG